UGAUGUGCUGAGGUCUCAGGCGCCCA
rnacentral:piRNA from 1 species